rnacentral:lncRNA from 1 species
UGAACAGAACGAGCUGUAUGUAUAAAAGUCCAUAAACACUGGGAGUGCCCAUGGUACAAACUCUUAACUCUCAGGUACACAGAUACUGAUCUCCUCCAGAGGAGUACCAGCAAGCCAGCAGGAGAGAGUUCUUAUUCAUAUUCAGUAUAAACUCGCAUAACUAGUGCCCAUACUACAUAGGGAUAGAGGCUGCGCGCUUCAACUCCACGUGGAUGGAUGAGCUGAGCACCAGCUUGACGGAUCGUCGCUCAUUACACACUGCAGGUCAAUCAUGCGUGCAAAGAUUUGAUUAAUG